UACUGAUUCUGCAAAUCUACCUGGUUUC
rnacentral:piRNA from 1 species